AGUGAACGCUGGCGGUAGGCCUAACACAUGCAAGUCGAACGGCAGCACAGUAAGAGCUUGCUCUUACGGGUGGCGAGUGGCGGACGGGUGAGGAAUACAUCGGAAUCUACUUUUUCGUGGGGGAUAACGUAGGGAAACUUACGCUAAUACCGCAUACGCCCUACGGGUGAAAGCAGGGGAUCUUCGGACCUUGCGCGAUUGAAUGAGCCGAUGUCGGAUUAGCUAGUUGGCGGGGUAAAGGCCCACCAAGGCGACGAUCCGUAGCUGGUCUGAGAGGAUGAUCAGCCUCACUGGAACUGAGACACGGACCAGACUCCUACGGGAGGCAGCAGUGGGGAAUAUUGGACAAUGGGCGCAAGCCUGAUCCAGCGAUACCGCGUGGGUGAAAGAGGCCUUCGGGUUGUAAAGCCCUUUUGUUGGGAAAGAAAAGCAGCAGGUUAAUACCCCGCUGUUCUGACGGUACCCAAAGAAUAAGCACCGGCUAACUUCGUG
rnacentral:rRNA from 1 species